rnacentral:tRNA from 1 species
GAUGAAGUGGCUGAAUUUUAGGCAAUAAAUUGUAAAUUUAUUUAUGGAAUAAUUACCCUUUAUCA